UGUCUGCUGUCUUCAGCUGCCGUUGCCUUUUCUUCUCCUCUCGGUUUAUUCUUUUUUUUUCUUGUGUGUCUGUUUCGUUUUUAUGUUUUUUUGUUGGUUUUGGCGCUGUCGGAAAAUGUCCGUUGCCAUUUCCAUUGCAGCCGUCUUCCGUUUGGGCGCUGUCCCUCCGUCGUUUGCCAUGCCCCCGUGUAAUUAGCUGGGUUCCCUAUCUUCGACAUUGUCUGGCAUUUCUCGGGUAUUUAUGUACUUUGCUGCAGACAGGACAAGCUACAUACAAUUUGGUUCAAAUGCCAUUGAUCUUGAACUUGAUUCAACUCAUAAGUGCAUUCAUCAGACAAAUCUGUCGACAGACAUGCGUUUAUUUCCUUGACUCGUCGCCAGCAAAUAAUUUCAAGCUUGAGUUCGCAUUCAGUGGACUAGAAAGAAAGUCAAUGUCGAAGAGCCUCUAUUAAAUUAGCAUUUCGCUGUCGCCCUGGCACGCUCUUCCGAGUAAUGCCCAUUCCCAUGUCCCAGUCUCCACUGCAACUCCGGAUCCGGACGAGACGGCAUAUCUCCGGUGCUUGGCCAGCUGAUGAUGAUGACUGGAGAUUUCUGGCAGCGAACGGCGCCAGAGAAUCGUAAAAUAUUUUUAUACAAAUAUCGCAGCAGUUAGAACAAAAGAUUUGAUUUGAAAAUGUAACGCUUCACGCCUGCAAAAAUACCGACAAAGAAAUGUCACACAAAAGACAGUGGGAUGCAAGCAGAUCUCUGUUCAGAUACACUAGGUGGACCUUCGGAUAAAUCAGGUGUAAUUGCGUCAUGCGGGUGCAUGGUAAACUAGAUCGACAGUAAACCUAAUCGAGACAGAGACACAUAAGUUGACGCGACAUCGGCACAGCCCAUAAAGUGACCACGCUCCUUGGAUUCCAAGGAUUCCCAGGACAGGUCGUUUUGCGGUGUGUCUCGCCUUGCUGGGUGUGAAGUGUCCCGUGGGCGGCGGUGUCUUUAGUUGCUCAAGAUGCAUGUACCUGAGCACAGUCGUCUGUCGCCAAUUGAAGUAAUAAUUUUCUAUUGUCCUUCGUCGCGCCUUCCUCCAUAAAGCAAAUGUACUUCAGAGCACUGAGAAGGACGCGACAAGUGGCUGGCUCUGGGUACUCUGUUCGGUUCAAGUAGCCAAGUGGCGCCAGACGAUCCAAGUCCCUCGGCCAGAGGACAUCUUUGUGAGUCCGCUAUCUGCCGCCUUGGAUCUGCAGAUGCUGAACGGUAGCGGUCAAGCUGCCAGAGGUUGACAACGACAUAUGUUCGUGCUGGAUAAGAUUGGGCCAGAGAAGAUUAGCUGCCGGGGAGAAGGGAUUUGGAUUGGGUAUACGGGUGGACGGAAGCUCUCGAACAACCCACACAAUCUCUUAGGCAAAAGGUUUUUUUUCUUGGUUUUUGGUAGAUACUAAGCCGGUGCUCAAGGUGCGUCGAGAGCAUCAUUAAGGCAGGAAGGCAAAGGUAACUACGGGACGGGAGUCCAGACCACAAGCAACGAUGAUUUAAUUUUCCAACACGCUUUCUACCACGCCAGCAUAAAGCAUCGUUGAAUCUCAAAAUCUGGGGUUUUGAAUUUGGAUUUUUCUCGUUUUUUUUUUUUUUUGCUUUUUGGUAUUCCAUGGAUGAUCGAUGGCCUGUCGUUGAGAUGAUCACUUUCUGUAGCUGCCUAGCGGCUACUAGUUGAGAUACUUAACGACGAUCCAAGAGGGCGCCACUCGGGCCUUAUAAUUUGUUAAGAUGUUUGGAUCGAUGGAUGGAUGGAUCGAUCGAUGGAUGAUUGGGGAUGCCUGGAUUGAUUGCCCUUUCUCUGCAUAAUAUUUAUAAUUCAUAAUAAAUAAUGAGGAUCGGUCUGGCAUGGACCAAACUGGAGCUCUCGAGACGGCGACAUCGACGCCUCCAAAUGCCAAAAUGGUAUUUUUCGUUGGACAGGACGGACUUUUGGACCAAGUUUGGCAAUUUAUGCGUCCAGAUUCGUGAUGUGUGUGGCAUAUAUGAAGCCCAGUCACAAGUUGCCUUUGACAAAUUCUCCAAGAAUGUGUCCGCAAGAUUUCAGGGCAUUGCAGCGGGCAUAUCAGCAAUGUAGUGCGGUUUGUUUCACUUCACAUAAGGAUUCAGUUAAUCUAGAGAUUAAGUACCCUUCUCUGGUUGAAUAUUACAAGCUAACUAUAUACUAUAUUAAACCGAAGAAAAAAAAAUAUUUCUCUGAACUUAUUUUAUGAAAAAGUUGAUAUAUAUUGAAAUAACAAGUUAUGAAAAGUUAAAUUAUAAAAACUAAGACCUCAGCAAUCAUGUUUUUCCAGGAUCUGAUACUUAGUUGUUUUUAAUGAUUCCAAAUUGCACCUAAAUAGGUAUUUUAUGAGGCUAGUAUACUUUGAAUACUGUGAAUUUUUGUAAUAAAUGUUUCUAUUUAAAAAACUCUA
ensembl:ncRNA lncRNA:CR46451 long non-coding RNA:CR46451